rnacentral:rRNA from 1 species
UACGUAGGGGGCAAGCGUUGUCCGGAUUUAUUGGGCGUAAAGAGCGUGUAGGCGGCCUUACAGGUCAGCUGUGAAAACUCGAGGCUCAACCUCGAGACGUCGGUUGAAACCGUAUGGCUAGAGUCCGGAAGAGGAGAGUGGAAUUCCCGGUGUAGCGGUGAAAUGCGCAGAUAUCAGGAGGAACACCGGUGGCGAAGGCGGGUCUCUGGGCCGAUACUGACGCUGGAGGAGCG